CUUUUGCAAACCCAUGAGACAAGAAAUGACCCUUUGUGGAUUGUUUUGGAUGUAGACAGGUUAUGGAAGGAAAGUCCUCUUGGAUUUCGAUGGCAUUUCCAAAUGGGGCUUGAAAAUUGGGAGUAGGGUCAAUGCCAAGCACCUCAUAAUGCUCAGAACUGUAGAACUUUUUUUUUUUUUUUUUUUUUUUUUUUUUUUUUAUGAUAGUCACAGAGAGAGAAAGAGAGAGAGGCAGAGACAUAGGCAGAGGGAGAAGCAGGCUCCAUGCACCGGGAGCCCGACGUGGGAUUCGAUCCUGGUCUUCAGGAUCGCGCCCUGGGCCAAAGGCAGGCGCCAAACCGCUGCGCCACCCAGGGAUCCCAGAACUGUAGAACUUUAUACAGCACCAACAACCACUCCAUCCUGGGAUCCUUCUCUUCCCUCCUUCCUGGUAGUCAACACAGAAGAAGUCAUUCUCACCGUUCCUCACAGGAAAUGGGCCCUGCUCUCAUGAAAACAAUAUGGGUCCAGUUGGAGGGCGAGGAAGAAGGAAAGAGAAAAGAAAAUUGUGAACAGGGCAGCAUCGUGCUGGAGGAAAUGACUGGUGACCCAGGCUGGAGGCCCUGCCGUCCCAAGGACCCCACACUCAACCCGGUGGGGUGACUGAACCUGCAUGAUUUGAUUUAAAGUCUCGGGCGGAGGCCGUGUCUGCCCUCCCAUUUUAUCUUCUGCUCCAGCUUCUUCAAAGCUGCACAAUAAAGAAUGGUAUGGACUUCA
rnacentral:lncRNA from 12 species